rnacentral:rRNA from 1 species
AGAGUUUGAUCCUGGCUCAGGAUGAAUGCUGGCGGCGUGUCUAAGGCAUGCAAGUCGCACGAACCAACUGAGAUUACAUCAAAGGUUGGGAAGUGGCAGACGGGAGCGGAACACAUUGGUAACAUUCCUCGAAGUCGUGAAUAACACCGGGAAACUGGUGCUAAUACACGAUGGACAAGGGGGGUCGUAAGACAUUCCCUUGUAAAGCUUCGGCGCUUCGAGAUUGGCCUAUGUCCUAUCAGCUAGUUGGUAAGGUAAUGGCUUACCAAGGCUAUGACGGGUAGGGGGCGUAAGAGCGUGGCCCCCCUCACUGGGACUGAGACACUGCCCAGGCACCUACGGGUGGCUGCAGUCAAGAAUAUUCGGCAAUGGGCGAAAGCCUGACCGAGCGACGCCGCGUGCCAGACGAAGCCCUUCGGGGUGUAAAUGGCUUUUUUCGGGGACGAACAAAUGACGGUAC